AAAGGAAAUAAUGAUAAAGGGUGGCUACAUUGCAACAGCAUUCAACAGAUUAUUCACAUGCAAACAUCACAACAUACAAUUACUUCCAAUCUGAAUUCUGAAAGCAAGCAUUCAUGAAAAAAGAAGAAGAAGAAGAAACAUGGCAAUUAAUCCAGGGUGCAAAGCACAAUGGGAAAAUACUAUUCAAAGGAGAUAUCUUCAUGACAAAGAAGAGAGAGGUUGUUAAUAAUCAUCGGUUGGUUUUUCUUCUUUGAAGUUAAAACCUUCAUUUCUUCUCUGGUUUAGCCAAGCCUCUCUGUCUUUGGUGCCCAUCUCCUGCUUUUUGGGCAGGGGAUGGUGGUUUUCUCAGGCUAGGUGUAGGGUCUCCCUCCCUUCUUCUGUCUGCGUUGUUUACAGUUUUGGUUUUGGUUGGUUUAUCUCGCAAAUCUAAGAGUUUUGAAUGGUGAGGGUUUUUCAAGUACAGAUCUGAUUAGGGCUAGCUAUAGCAGAACCUUAGAAGCGGUGGCCUUUUUCUGUUGAGGAUGGCAUCUGGUGGGUUAAAAAGGCUGUCGGUGUUUGCCUUGUGUUGUCCAGUGCCCAUUGAAGACCAACUCUGUUGUCCUCGCUGGAUGGCUCAGCACGAGAAGUUCAAGCUGUUGGAUGGGCUUGUUUGUUUCUCAGGCGACAGAGGAGCGGAUGAUUUGGUUGAAAAGCGCUCUUCUUUAUUCUUGGGUCUCCUUGUGUUGAUCUUCUUGAUUUGGCUAUGGUGUGGUUUUGUAUUAGUUUUUUAUUCUACUGUUUAGAGUGGUCAGUAGUUGGGUUGCCUGUGGAGUGCCCUUUCUGUUCUCUGAUGGUUCUCUGUAGUGCAGUUCCAGCAAGAGGUUCUGAUCUCUUCCUCAGCGUGUUUUUUCGAAUAUUCUGCUCUGGAUCCCUCUGCUCUUGUAGUGGCUGGGUUCAUUUUUAUGCUUUUGGGUUUGAUUGUAUUGUUUGGUUUGGGCUUCGGUCGAAACCUCCCCUGUAAUCCCUUAUAUUUUAAUGAAAUUCUAAAUUUCAUAUUAAAAAAAAAAUAUGAUAAAUGGGAAAUCAAAUCAAAACAAGACCAAUUUCUGCUCUUGUGUGGUCAUUCAAGGACAAGAAGCAGAAAACCAGAGCCAUGAUCAUGAACAUCACAGCAUAUCUCGCAGAUUCCAAGGUGGCUGUAAACCUUUGCUCCUGCAGGCCGCAUAUAGCACUAACAAAGACACCCAAGCCGUCCACCACGGUAGCCAGCAACAUUGCUGUCUUCUUCCAAUAAAAGAGAAAAAAACCUUGUAGCCUUUACUUGCACUUAACUAUAUCUUUCAGAUUUUGUAUAGGCAACUGGAGGACUAUGGCUCUCUUUUGCUUGCUUUAUAUUGAAACGCAUGCAAUGCA
rnacentral:misc_RNA from 1 species